GCCCGGGUGGCGAAACUGGCAGACGCACGGGACUUAAAAUCCCGAGUGCCGCGAGGCACGUACCGGUUCGAUUCCGGUCCCGGGCACCA
rnacentral:tRNA from 1 species